GGCUCAGAUUGAACGCUGGCGGCAUGCCUUACACAUGCAAGUCGAACGGCAGCACGGACUUCGGUCUGGUGGCGAGUGGCGAACGGGUGAGUAAUGUAUCGGAACGUACCUUUCAGUGGGGAUAACGUAGCGAAAGUUACGCUAAUACCGCAUAUUCUGUGAGCAGGAAAGCAGGGGAUCGCAAGACCUUGCGCUGAUUGAGCGGCCGAUAUCAGAUUAGCUAGUUGGUGAGGUAAAGGCUCACCAAGGCGACGAUCUGUAGCGGGUCUGAGAGGAUGAUCCGCUACACUGGAACUGAGACACGGUCCAGACUCCUACGGGAGGCAGCAGUGGGGAAUUUUGGACAAUGGGGGCAACCCUGAUCCAGCCAUGCCGCGUGAGUGAAGAAGGCCUUCGGGUUGUAAAGCUCUUUCGGCCGGGAAGAAAUCGCAUGGGCUAAUACCCUGUGCGGAUGACGGUACCGGCAUAAGAAGCACCGGCUAACUACGUG
rnacentral:rRNA from 1 species